UCAGUCGGCCGGACGGCCGCUCCGGCAGGUGCCGAAAGGCCGCCGGGGAGGAAAGUCCGGGCUCCCUUGACAUACGGUGCCGGAUAACGUCCGGCGGGGGCAACCCCAGGGAAAGUGCCACAGAGAACGAACCGCCCCGCUUCGCCUUCGGCUUCGCGGGGUAAGGGUGAAAAGGUGCGGUAAGAGCGCACCGCGGCUCCGGCAACGGAGCCGGCAUGGUAAACCCCACCGGGAGCAAAACCGAAUAGGGACGGCGUAGCGGGCUGUUCGCGCAAGCGAUAACGCCGCGGGGCGAUGUCAGGCCCGCCGUCCGGGUAGGUUGCUCGAGGCCAUGUGCAAACAUGGUCCCAGAGGAAUGGCCGUCACGUAUCGUUUGCGCAAGCGGACGGUGCCUUACAGAACCCGGCUUACAGGCCGGCUGAUAUC
rnacentral:RNase_P_RNA from 2 species